CUCUCCCUUAUCUCUUUCUCUCCCGAUCUGAGUGGCGGCUACAUCCACUUUCUCUCCUCUCAUUUAUAUGGAGCUCCGCCCCAAAGUGGAGGAAAGGGUACGCGACCGUCGAUCUAUGCGCGUCUAGGCAUGGAGGGCACCCUCCUCUCGCGCUCCUUCUUCGUCUGGAGCGCUAGCAUCCCAGAUAGCGUAGAUCCACUACCCCUACGUCCGCCCCACGCCGGCCGCCGGUGGCUCGCAUAGAUCUGUUCCUCCCCCACCUGCCGCACGCGACAGAGCAUGCUGCCAUGUUGUUUUGGUGCAGCCAGACCGCCGCCCCUACCCUCACGCUCCGGGUAGAGGCUCGUUCUUCUUGGUGGUGACUACACGUUCCUUCCCGGUGGUGGCACUCUUCCUGCCGUCUUAUGUUUCUCCCAGCGGCUGCGCCCUUUGACACCUACCUCGAAUCAAUCAAUUCGUCAAUAGAGAGAUGAAGCUCCAAAGAAGUGUGAUGAGGAAAAAGCCGGUUAUAUGCUGGUAUCUUACUCUGUGGGUUUCGACAUUGGACGUUUGACCAAAAUCAUAUACUGGAGAAUGCUUGUAUUAUAAUAGAAGGUAGUGGAGCAAGAUUUCUUAUAUCUGGGUGAGGGCAUCAAUCAAUGUUGGGACAAGGAAUCUCAUCACUACAAUAUAUAGCUAACCCAGUGGACCAAGCGUGUUCUUGAGCAUAGCGAGACGAAAAACAUCUUUCCUGAGUUGGCAUGUGAAGGAAACAAACCAAAGGAGUGCACUCACACGGAACCAUGAAGCCAAUGAUCUACGUCAACUAGAUGUUUUAGAUUUCAUUUUGUACCACUGAUGUCUCAUACUUGCAUCUUUUACCUGUCCUUUUGUGAACUUGAUGUAUGGUGUCUUGGUGGUAAUAUUUAGAACAGAAUGAAGUGUAUGUAUGUGACAAAUAGUUGUGUAUGUAUGUGAAAAAUAGUUAAUGGAACAAAAAUAUUUGGUG